UACGGGGGGGGCAAGCGUUGUUCGGAAUUACUGGGCGUAAAGGGCUGGUAGGCGGCCAACUAAGUCGGAUGUGAAAUCCCCAGGCUUAACCUGGGAACUGCAUCCGAUACUGGUUGGCUUGAAUCCGGGAGAGGGAUGCAGAAUUCCAGGUGUAGCGGUGAAAUGCGUAGAUAUCUGGAGGAAUACCGGUGGCGAAGGCGGCUUCCUGGACCGGCAUUGACGCUGAACAGCGAAAGCUAGGGGAGCAAACAGG
rnacentral:rRNA from 1 species